CGUCCGUGUCGCGCACUUGACCCUCCCCAAGUACCUGCUCUUAUAUUCGAAACAGGUUCAUCUCUUUCGCUUUCUUUCCCUCGAACUCGCCACGACAAUGUCAAUCAGCAACACCUCCAGCUCUAGACCCCCUCCAGUGAUCGGCAAGAUGGGCCCUUACGCUGUUUUCGUCAACCCCAGCGCCGACCCCGAAACCGGUCUGGCCGGUUCUUGAUUCGCCGGCGAAGGUCGUCCCUCCUCCGGUUCAGCCGCCUCCCCACCGCUUGCUUGGACGGCCACACGGCCCAUUGGCUUGGGUUGGACCAGUCGAGGUAUCAUUGGGCGUUGGAAAAUUAUUACGAUAACUGAAGAUCAGUAGUAAGUUUUACCAAGGUCUUAUUUUUAUCUGUUUAUAUUGCACCUUGAUUUGCUAUUUUGUGUUUUUUCAGCUUUGCUUUCACUCUUUCCCUUACUUUAUGUCAUGAUUCUUUGAAAAGUAGCCUUCUUUAAUGGUCUGCUUAUGGAGGAUUCUCAAUUAGUCAUGAAGUAUGAUGAGGUUGUUGGGGGUGUAAUUUUGUGUAGGCAGCUUAGGGGUGGUGGCCUGCACUUGAGUACUUUUUUAGUUGUGAGAUCAUUUUCACUAACUCUUUUGCAGUUUUGCUGCAUUUUCUCCUUUCAUUACAUCAAUUUGCUUUGGAUUUUGGUACGAUAGUAGUUGCUGCAGUAAACCUACUAAGUUGCUAAAUGUUUGGUGUAUACUAUCGCCAUUGCGGUUUUUGGUUGUAGAUCAAAUAAAGUAUUGGAGAAUUUGAGUUUCACUCAAUUUUUGGAGUGCUCCAUCUCGGCUCCAAUCUACUGGAACUUGAACAGUUUAAAAUUGUCAUCAAAGCCCUGGCCUUGUCAUGGCUUAGUUUCUCAGCUCAAGUCAAAAUAGAUUCAGCCCACCACCAGCGUUCUCUUGCAAAACGUGAAUACUGUUCUAUGGACUUUAUGUGUUCUACUGGUGGACGAGGAGUUUCUGUAGAUAGGGAGCAAACAGCAUCCCCAAAUAACUGCAAACCAAAUUAUUGGAGUACAUUUCAUUGGAGAUGCCCCAACUUCAGUGAUUUCUCAAUUAGGUUAUUAGACUUUGAAUUUAGUCAUCCAAUGCAAUAAUUUUUUUUUUCUUUGGCAAUACACGCACUUUGACUGGAAUUUGGCGAAUAUUCCAUGAAAUGCUAACGAGGCGGCCACAUGGUUGAUGCGGCAUCUAGAAAUUUUUCCACAUGUCCGCAAAGUCAGCAUCUCACCAGGAAUUGAAUGUAUUCCAGAUAGUUGACAAGCCACAUGUCUUGGUGAAGUGAUCUAGGCUUGAAUUCCUGCUAAAUGAAUGGUAAGAAAAUAGCCUCAUCUUGUCUGGGUGGAAAUUUUUCGUCUGCUCUUCCAAAAGUUCCUUAAUGUGGCAAUUUAUCUGGCAAUUCACUUGCCACGGUUUGCUAUUGGUUACACAAAAAGCCUAGCCCAGCGUUCAUGCAGGUUGUCUUUGCCAGUUUUACCAUAUGCAGUGAGUUCUCAUUUUCAAUUGAAGCAGCUUCUUUAUAUGGCAGUUUAGGCCACAAAAUGUUCUAAUUCCUUAGAUCCUUCCUACCUUAGCAAGUGAAUUGCUGAACUCGACCAAUAAUAUGUAACCCAAGUCAACUAAAGGAACUUAUUAUAGAAGUAACACCAAGGUAAGAAAAUAAGGUAAUUCUGCUUGCCAUGGCAUGUCAUGCUGGACUGCUUGCUUUGCUUCCUCAGCCGGUAAUGGGGGUGAGAUAUUAAGAGUCACUACAAUUUGAGGUAAAUUUAAUCUAGAUUGUUGCUGAAUUUCUGUGUCUUACACUCGACGCAAAUGAAAGUUAACCAACGCACAGUGACCUUUGAGUUGUAACUUAUUCCUGGUGAUGAUAUUUGCAAUUGCUAUGUGUACUCAUUGACUUAUGAUCUGCAACUAGAAUUCCAUUUUCAGACUUAUGAUGUAUACUCAUUGCAGGGAAAGGAAGGUGAGAAAAAUAAAAUUUCAAACAAGUUGCUGAGUGUCUAGUGCAUUCUGGCUGAUAUAGAUUCUGAAAGAUGUAUUCAAUUGUGGCUCUGGUAAAGUACAAUAUCUGAUGGGAAAUCCUCUCAAGCAGGAACUGUGCCAUAUUUUUCAUAAAGAUGAGAUCUUCCUCCAAAAUGUACAUAAGGUUUCCCAAGGUGCAGUACUUGGAAUCUGGUAACUCCCUGAUGUAUGUUGUUGGAAUCCAGCAUAGAUGUCUUUCAGAAUUCAUAUUUCAACAAGCUUUCCUGUUUGUGCAUUUGUUACUUUUGAGUUAUCUAGAAGCUGCAAAUCUGCAGUAUCCUAUUGGUUUGGAUGGGACUUAAAAGAAGCUGUCCAUGACCUUACGGGACUCUAGUUAUUUUAUUCCAAAAGCAAUAUGUGGUAGGGAGCACUUGCCGUCCU